AAACGACUCUCGGCAACGGAUAUCUCGGGUUGCGCCCGAAGCCUUCUGGCUAAGGGCACGUCU
rnacentral:rRNA from 1 species